GCCAGGCGUGGUGGCUCAUGCCUGUAAUCCCAGCACCUUGGGAGGCCGAGAUGGGUGGAUCACCUGAGGUCAGGAGUUCAAGACCAGCCUGACCAACAUGGUAAAACCCCAUCUCUA
ensembl:misc_RNA Metazoa_SRP Metazoan signal recognition particle RNA